GAAUUGAAAGCUAACAUUAUAAGCAGCGGCCUUGUAAGUCGAAGAUAGAGGUACUCUCAAUUCU
rnacentral:tRNA from 1 species